GAUGAACGCUAGCGGCAGGCCUAACACAUGCAAGUCGAGGGGCAGCACAGGUAGCAAUACUGGGUGGCGACCGGCAAACGGGUGAGUAACGCGUAUGCAACCUACCCUGUACAGGGGGAUAACCCGGAGAAAUUCGGACUAAUAUCCCGUAAUAAUAUCCGGAGGCAUCUUUGGAUAUUUAAAGUUCCGACGGUACGGGAUGGGCAUGCGUAACAUUAGCUGGUUGGUAAGGUAACGGCUUACCAAGGCUAUGAUGUUUAGGGGUCCUGAGAGGGUGGUCCCCCACACUGGUACUGAGACACGGACCAGACUCCUACGGGAGGCAGCAGUGAGGAAUAUUGGUCAAUGGGCGCAAGCCUGAACCAGCCAUCCCGCGUGCAGGAAGACGGCCCUAUGGGUUGUAAACUGCUUUUCCAGGGAGAGAAACUUACGCACGUGUUGCGUGACUGACGGUACCCUGGGAAUAAGCAUCGGCUAACUCCGUGCCAGCAGCCGCGGAAACUGUAGUCGU
rnacentral:rRNA from 1 species